rnacentral:snoRNA from 1 species
GUACUAUCAGGCUCCCACCUGGAGAGUUUCCAGUACUCUACCAGUCUCGGCUAUGGGAGGGAGAGUCAAGCAGAGGCCUGUCCAUUCCAUUCCUAGCUUGAUCAGUGGCUAGGGAGUGGAGGGCAAUCUGCUACAAGG